UCGGACGUUCGAGUCGUCCCAGGCCCACCACUGAUCCAGAAGGUUGGGCGUCGAUCUGAAGCUCUUGUUGUGCUGAGCGUGCUCUUAGGGGCCAUAGCUCAGUUGGGAGAGCGCGUGCUUUGCAAGCAUGAGGUCGUCGGUUCGAUCCCGUCUGGCUCCACCAUUUCCUGCAUUCCGAUGAGGGAUGCGGUCGAGAUGGUCGGUGGUGAAGCGCUUCAAGCGUGAGAGAAGAACAUCCGGUUCUUUUCUCUUCUGUCCGCACAAUCUGUUUCGCUGAUCCUCAGCAAGCCCCCAUGUGGGCGAGGAUGAGCGCUGCUGUCUGACAUUGUGAAUCUGGGCGUUUUCGAUUUGCUGGCCGCAAGGCUGGCGGGUCGUGACAAUCAAGCUUUCGGGCUUGAGAGGACACGAUCAUCGGGUGCUGACCGCACCGGUGUCGAAAAUGUCGAAGCUGGUCUUUAGCGUCCAGCCCUCUCGCUGAUCCGCCUGGUGCGGAUUGAUGAGAACCUCAGCCGAGGAGGUGGGCAUGGACGAUGAGAACGAUCAAGUGUCUUAAGGGCAUUCGGUGGAUGCCUUGGCGCUAAGAGGCGAAGAAGGACGUGGUACGCUGCGAUAUGCUUGCGGGGAGCUGC
rnacentral:rRNA from 1 species